UGCCUACGGGACGCAGCAGUGGGGUAUAUUGCACAAUGGGGGAAACCCUGAUGCAGCGACGCCGCGUGAGUGAAGAAGUAUCUCGGUAUGUAAAGCUCUAUCAGCAGGGAAGAAAAUGACGGUACCUGACUAAGAAGCCCCGCCUAACUACGUGCCAGCAGCCGCGGUCAUACGUAGGGGGGCAAGCGUUAUCCGGAUUUACUGGGUGUAAAGGGUGCGUAGACGUCGCUG
rnacentral:rRNA from 1 species